AACGAACGCUGGCGGCAUGCCUAACACAUGCAAGUCGAACGAGACCUUCGGGUCUAGUGGCGCACGGGUGCGUAACGCAUGGGAACCUGCCCUUAGGUUCGGAAUAACUCCCCGAAAGGGGUGCUAAUACCGGAUAAUGUCUUCGGACCAAAGAUUUAUCGCCUUUGGAUGGGCCCGCGUUGGAUUAGCUAGUUGGUAGGGUAAAAGCCUACCAAGGCGACGAUCCAUAGCUGGUCUGAGAGGAUGAUCAGCCACACUGGGACUGAGACACGGCCCAGACUCCUACGGGAGGCAGCAGUGGGGAAUAUUGGACAAUGGGCGAAAGCCUGAUCCAGCAAUGCCGCGUGAGUGAUGAAGGCCUUAGGGUUGUAAAGCUCUUUUACCCGGGAUGAUAAUGACAGUACCGGGAGAAUAAGCUUCGGCUAACUCCGUG
rnacentral:rRNA from 1 species